rnacentral:rRNA from 1 species
UACAGAGGUCCCGAGCGUUGUUCGGAUCAUUGGGCGUAAAGGGUGCGUAGGCGGCGGGGCCAGUCUGAUGUGAAAUCCCAGGGCUCAACCCUGGAACUGCAUUGGAUACUGCCUUGCUAGAGUACUGGAGAGGGAACUGGAAUUUACGGUGUAGCAGUGAAAUGCGUAGAGAUCGUAAGGAAGACCAGUGGCGAAGGCGGGUCUCUGGACAGUUCCUGACGCUGAGGCACGAAGGCCAGGGGAGCAAACGGG